UUCUUCGCGAGAGGCGUAUCAUAGCCUAUGAAGUCCAUCUGAGGCGUGAUUAUUGCUGGUUGAAAACUUAAACCAAUACCCCGCUUGGGAUGACUUGAAAUAUAGUCGCCUUGGCAUUUUUGAUAGUCUCAUGUGGAUGCUAUAUGUGAAAGAGA
rnacentral:snRNA from 1 species